CAUUUUUUUGCCAUGAUUUCAUUAUUUUUUUAAUUUGUGAUUUGAGUAUUCCAUUAAUUUAAUUGAUUUGUAAUUUUACUGUUUUUGUUUUUGUUUUUUUUUGAUUAAAUUUAUUUUGAUUUGGCAGGUCAAUGGCAAAUUAAAGAACAAAGUUUUACUUGACGUAAUCUAAAACAAAAUAAACAAAAGAAAAUGGAUUUUAAAUAUUUACAAGGUGUUAUUGAUGUAGAUUUAGAUGACGACAGCAGGCGAGAAAAAUACAUAUGAAUUUGACAUUGGUGUUAAAGAUGAAGAUAUCAUGAUUUUAUCAAGAUUGUUUUGAAAAUAAUUUUAAUUUUGUAAAAGUUUUUGUUCUAAAAAUGUUUUAAUUA